UACGUAGGGUGCAAGCGUUGUCCGGAAUUAUUGGGCGUAAAGAGCUUGUAGGCGGUUUGUCGCGUCUGCUGUGAAAUUUCGGGGCUCAACCCCGAACUUGCAGUGGGUACGGGCAGACUAGAGUGUGGUAGGGGGAGACUGGAAUUCCUGGUGUAGCGGUGAAAUGCGCAGAUAUCAGGAGGAACACCGAUGGCGAAGGCAGGUCUCGUGGGCCAUAACUGACGCUGAGAAGCGAAAGCAUGGGGGAGCAACAGG
rnacentral:rRNA from 1 species